rnacentral:rRNA from 1 species
CAGUCGCCGCGGGAAUACAGAGGGUGCGAGCGUUAAUCGGAUUUACUGGGCGUAAAGCGUGCGUAGGCGGCUUUUUAAGUCGGAUGUGAAAUCCCUGAGCUUAACUUAGGAAUUGCAUUCGAUACUGGGAAGCUAGAGUAUGGGAGAGGAUGGUAGAAUUCCAGGUGUAGCGGUGAAAUGCGUAGAGAUCUGGAGGAAUACCGAUGGCGAAGGCAGCCAUCUGGCCUAAUACCGACGCUGAGGUACGAAAGCAUGGGGAGCAAACAGGAUUAGAUACCCCAGUAGUCCCUGUCUCUUAUAC